GUAGUAUUUGUAGUUCAACUAGCCAUAACAAAACCACUCACCAUCAGAAUCUACCUCAAAAGGAAAAACCCCUAUCAAGAGGUAAAGGAAGACCAAGAAAAAUACAUAACCAAGACCCUGCAGUUGCUGCUGAUGAAGCAAAAGUAGCUACAAGAGUUAGGAGAAAGCUUGCAUAUGCAAGGGCAAAGGCUGUUGCUGCUGCAAAGAAGGCUGCACUAAAUGCUUCCCAGCCAAAUGUAGCUGAAACUGUUGGAAUAGGAUUGAAAGCAUCCAAGAGACAAAGAACAUAGACUCUUAGUUCUUAGUUUAUGCAAAUUCCAUUUUAUUUUGAACUAGGACAACUUUUGGUUUUGUGAUGUGGCCAUUUUGUCAACUUUUGGUAGCUGUUUUAUUAUAUUCCAUAUUAGGUGCUCAUGUUCAUUUUGUAAAUUUGAGUUGCAAAGGUUGGAAAAAUAUGUAUGUAUUUUGAACUCAAAAUAUAAUGGAAUUUGCCUUCAAGCAAUUGUUC